ensembl:lncRNA
ACACAGUGCUUUGGAGCCAGCUGAGGUUCAGUGAGAUCAUGAGGGUGGGGGCCCGGUCCCACAGGACUGCUGUCCUUAGGAGGCACCGGAGCGCUCACUGCCGUCCUCCCCAGCGCAGGAAGGUGACUGUCCACGAGCCAAAAAGAGAGGUCACCAGAUCCAGAACCCGCCAGCUCCUUGAGCUCGGACUCCCGGCCCCAAGCUGCGAGUUUCUUGAUCUCUAAGAAGGAUGCCAGGGCAGACUGAUCAGCCCUGGAAGCCGGAGGCUGAAGAACAAGUGGAAAGCAGAACUGUGGUUGAGGAACAGGGCUGGAGGUCCAGUGGAGGGCGCAGUGGCCUCUGUCCAUCAAUUUUCCACUCAAUUCCUUCUCCAGGAGAACCUCUAGCCGGAUCUGAAUGGAAUGGUCACUCAUUUAGUUAGUCAACAAACAUGCGUUGCCCUGCCAGAUAGCACCUGGGCCGGGUGCUGUGAUGCAGCAAGGAAAGUGCUUGGGUCCCCACCAAGAUUCACACCACUCAGGCCAUCACUGUGCUGAAUGAAAGGCUUCCCAGUGGGUAGCGGGAAAGAAGCCUGGUCGUCAGACAGACCUUGUCAGCUGGAGACACUGGGCAAGCCACGCAUGUGCCCCAAGUUCUUUCUUCUUCUUUUUGUAAAUCUUUUUUUUUUUUGGUAUCGGGGAUUGAACUUGGGUCCUUGCGCUUGCGCAGCAGGCAGCGAAACCACUGAGCUAAAUCCCCGGCCCUUCUUUUUGUAAAUCUUUCUUUUUUUUGGUACCGGGGAUUGAACUCGGGUCCUUGUGCUUGCGAGGCAGGCGACGGAACCACUGAGCUAAAUCCCUGGCCUUUCUUUUCGUAAAUCUUAAAAAUGACCCUGAUUAAAAAAAAAAAAUGACCCUGCUAUCCAUCUUUGGGUCAGCAAUUCUCAAACAUUUUGGUCUCAGGAAACCUUUACAUGCUUAAGAAUUAUUGAGAACCACUAUCUCCCACUAUUUACCACAUAAAUAAUUGAAACUGAGCCAUGUGUUGGCCCACGCCUGUAAUCCCAGCUGUUCAGGAGACUGAGGCAGGGGGAUCACAAUUUCAAGGUCAGGUCGGGGCAACUUAGCCAGACUCCGGCUCAAAAAAAAAAAAUAAAAAAGGGCUGUGGGGUGCAGCUGUGGUAGAGCACCUAUGAGUUUGAUCCUCAGUACCACAAAGAUAAAUGAAUGAAUAAAUGAAUAAGUAAAUAAAACCUGAU